rnacentral:lncRNA from 1 species
UUAUUUUAAUUGAAUUCAGAUAAAUUAUUAAUUUUAAUGAAAAAAAAGAAAAUCAACCAUUCCUGAAAAAACACGUGGCCAGAAACGUCUCUCAGAGUUUCUGAAAACAGAGACGAUUCUCACUUCUCUCUCUUCUUUUUCACCACUUUAUAUUAUUUUAAUAAUAAGUAUCUUUUCUAGAUAUUGCAGAUGGAGGGACAAACGCUCCUCCUUCUCUCUAUAAAACAAAGUCGCCGCCGUUGUUGCUAGGGUUUCGGUCCCAGUGACUUUUUCAGCACCAGAACCGAAAUUUCUUGGUUUCUUCAUGUUUAGUUUUUGUUUUCCUUCCUCUCUGACAGAUCUGAACCUUUUUUUUUUCCAACGGUUUCAGAUCUAAAAUUUCAGAUCUAAAUCUACAAUUUCUAAAUUUUUCGUCUUUGGAUUUUGCUGCUUGUUUUUGUCCCUUUUAUGUGCAGCACCAGUUCUGGCCGUUCGAACCUCGGCAGAGGCGAGUUCUUUCACCGCCUUCAGAAGUAGAUUUCUCUCCUUUGAAGAUCUCGAUCUCCUUUCUUCUUCUUAUGACCAUCAUCAUUUGGGUCGCGGGGUGUUUGUUUGUUCACCGCCGUUUGUGGUAAAGAGAGUCCUGGUUUUGUUGGUUUUGUUUUCCUUAGUGUGAAUCUGUUUGUUUUUAUGGUGAUUUAGACUUUGUAAUUUUAUUUUUGAUUUUUUGAGUUUGGAUUCCGAGAAGAUUGGUUCAGAUGCGUGUAUUUGUAUGUUUGAGUUUAUUUCCUCUUUAAUUUUUCUUAAUUAGAUUUUUGUUUCUAGGAGUCUACAUGUACUCGCCGGCUUAUGUCUUUGGAAGGUUUGAUUGCAUUGCCGCCUAUUGUAUUCAGAACUUAUUUCAUCAAUAUAAUUUACCAUUCUAGUGAAGAAAAAAAAAAUAUUGUUGAUGGAGGUGCUCUAACUCUUCUAAUCCUAAUACUAAAAACAAGAUCGUUGAAAAUUAAAAAGAAUAAUCCAAUUAGAACAAAGGUACAUCUUUCUUCUUUGGAUCUAAAGAAAUAAUAUACUCCCAAAAGUAGAAUGUACACUUGGUGAAUGGGACAUGAAGCACAUGUGUGGAAGCUAAUAUAGGAGUUUUUCUUCUCACGUGUCUUUUCCUACAAAGCUUCAUGAUCAGUUGAUCACCUCUCCGCUUACACUUGUCUUAAAAAAAAAAAGCCAACGCUUAGCGUACCACACAGAUUAUAGACUUCUGAAUUUUUUGUUGGCAUGAAGUUGCUCUGCCAAAAAAGGGUCAUCACCCUUCUAGCAAACAAUAUAAUCUCAAUCUCUUUACUGACCAAGCCUCCCAUUUGUGAUGAUGGGGUCAUCCAGGAUGACAAAAAUUGUUUGGCUGAGAUCUUAUCAAUCAAUUGACCAAUAAGCAUAGUUUCUAUUUCACAUUUUUUCAAUCUGGUUAUUCCCAUAUCCGCCUGCUUUUUGUAACUUAUGAAUAAAAGUAUUAAACCAAAAAAUUUCUGAUUUCUAAACCUACAUUUGAUUUUAUCUAAUCUCCUUUCCACAUCACAAAACAAAACUAUGUAACUGUAGUUAUAAGUUAUUGGCUUACAUAUAAACUAUGUAUGUUUUUCUAAGUCAUUGUUUUUUGGAUUCUUGAAUUGAUAAAGAAAUUCAUGACGAUUCUGUAUGGAAGAACUGCGAACUUUAAAACUCUAUUUUGACUGUAAUCCCUAACCACUAACCAGAGAAGACUAGAGAGAAUAUCAAAGAAUCAGUGAAAUUGUUUCAGUUACUAAAUUAAACGAAUACAGAGGUCAAUGAACUCGAAACAUACCCACCUGAGCAUAGGAAGGAAGAAGGAAGAAGGAGAAAAUAGACUGGAAUCAUCCUCUAAUUCUAUGUAAAACAACAUAAGAACAAACACUAUCUACACAUUACAUAACUUGGUUUAAAAUUCAACUGGCCAAAAUCUAAUCCAAUAGAAUAGGAAUACAAAAACAGAGUAAAAACAGAAAGAAACCGCUAUGACAUAACCACUAGAAACUUGUAGGCAGUGUUUUUCAUGUUCUGAUGUAAUUAGGUUCAUCAAACUAGUUACUUGAGGAUUUAUAAAAUCUAAAGAUACUUAAUCCGUGCUCCGACUCACCACAAGUUCAUGUCAUCACUGAAAAAUCCAAAGAACUUUCAGCCUAAUCCUAAUGGUGUGUUCUAAAGAACUCCAAAUCCAAUCGACCAAACACUACACAACCUAUAAGCCAUAGAAAGCUGCAUACACCAAAGUAAGACAAACUCACAUGUUCCUGUCACCACUGAAAAGUAACAGAACUUCAGCUUAAUCGUAAUUGUAACCCAAUUUAAAAAACGUUACAUAACUCAAUGGUAAGCUGCAUAGAGACACUAAUGGUCACCAAAGCAAAGAUGCAAAUGUGCUUAAAGAAACUGAACAAAACAAUAAACUCAACACACCACUCUAACAUUCACAAAGACAUAACCCGAUGAUACUAACCGUAAUUACACAAUGAAUGACACAAAUCAAACGAUGUGGUUGUUGAAUACACAUCAAUCAAAGCAAUCCAAAACACACAUAGCAGAAAAGGAAAACAAUUUACCAACAAAGAUGCAUUAUUGUUAAAUAUCAAAUCCCAUAAAGCCAAACCAAGCAACAAAAUGAAGACACUUGCACUCAUAUUAAGGAAGAAGAAACAUCUUCAAAUAUGCAUAAUACCAAAUCCACAAGUCAUCAUCAUCAUUACAAGAACAGCAAAACCCUAAGAGACAAGAGAUUAUAAUAAGGAAGUAAAACCAAAUUUCUCAAGCCUCACUCUUCUCCUCCUCUGAAGCAGGACCAGCAUCAUCUUUAGAAACCUCACUAGCAUCAGUAUUAGCAUCCUCCACACUUCCAUUUCCAACACUAGCAUUAGAUCUAGCCUUAACAGAUUCAAGCAUCCUCUUACUAAUCUCUUUAGAAUAAAGCUCAAGAAUCUUAAUCCCAUCAUCAUCACUCGACACAGCAUUCGAAGCAACACCAUAAGCCUCUUCUUCGAUAAGUUUCGCGACGGUGGUUGCAUCGUCAGAUUUAAGAGUACCGUAUCUCUUAGAGAGGAUUGAUUCGGUGGAUAAGGUCUCGAUCAGGCGAUUCAGAACGGCGUCGCGAGUUUUCUGAGUCGGUGGCCAGAUUCGGAGAGAGAUUCCUCCUGGUUUCUUCUCUGAUUCGGCUUCUUUCGUCAGAUCUGUGUCUUUUGAGGCUGCUUCUUGAGAUGUUGGAUCUGUCAUUGCAGAAAUAGUGGUGGAGCUUUCGGAUUCCGGUGGCGGCGAUGAGAUCGUGGUGUUGAUUGUCUCGGCGGUUUCUGCCAUUUUCGAAGUUUAGGGAUUUUGGAGAUUCUUUGGAAGGAUCAGUUAUGACGACGGUUCACGAAAUGACAAAGUCUUUAGAGUUUAGAGUUUAGACAUUGAUUGGUUUGGUUCGGUGUUAUUAUAAAUAAUUAAAUAACCGAAAAUUCAGGAAGUAUUUGAAAUUUAAACUUUGUGUGGUGGAGAAAACUAUAGUCAAUAUAAAUAUUUCAGUUAUAAUCUUAAACUUACGUUCAAAUCUUUUUAUGAAUUAAUUACGGUUUUAUUUUAAAUUAAUUACAUAAAAUACAAUUAAUAAUAAAAAUUUCAGCUAAUUUUAUUGAUAUCAGAUGAAGAUAAUAUCAGUAUAUAAAAUACAAUAAAUGUUUUAAAUAUAAAUGUUUUGUGGAAAAUAGUAUAUAUAUAAAAUCAAAAUAAGUAGGGUAACUUGAUUUUUUCUUACAAAUUAUUUUCAACUGAACUAAUCUUUAGGUAAUCCAAAUAUUAUUUUACAAAAUCUAAAUAGGGUAAUAAUCAUAAAUGACGAUAACCACUACAUUCUCAUUCGACUAUCUUUUCAAGCGACUUUGUAUUAUCUUUGGAGAGAGUGGAAUGAGAGGAAGCUCACAACAAGAAAUGUCGGACCCAUAUGCAGCUUCUAGCCAUGAUCGAGAAAACCAUUCACUCUCGCAUCAUGUCAUUGUGUUACUACGAGAAACCAAAACUUAAAGAUUGCUUCAAACUUUGUAUGUGACGAGACCCCUACAUUAGUCACUGCCAAGAUCUGUCCUCAAAUCUUUGAUCUGUUUUGUUAUGUCUUGUUUUUGUAUAUUGUCACAUUCUCAUUGUAAAUUAUUAGUUACCAAUCAACAAAUUUUACAUCAUAAAAAAGCAGUCAAGAGAUUUUUUUAUUUUAGAACUAUUUGGCAAUCAAGUUUGAAAAAUAUAUUGGGUGGAGGAUCAAUUGAACAUGUGGAUGAUGAGUAAAAUUAGUUUUGAGUCUAGUUAAAAGGUGAUCAAGGUCUAUUAUGAUAUUUGGUGAGCUUAGAAGAAAUUAGAAAACAUAAUCGUUUCUCAACCGAAUGUAUAUUCGCAACGUUUCUUCACCUUGAAUUUGCCUUGGGUUGGCUCUGCUCUAAGGAGGUGUCUUUGUUGUUUUUGAUUGUUUGUUGUGUUUCUUCACUUUGAUAGGAUAAAGGUUUGUUCCGCAUGAUGUUCCAGUGAGCUUUCAGUGUUGGAUAGAAGCGGUGAUUUGGUCUAGAAUGUCUAUAUUAUAUUGUGGGAACUGAUUUUUCUAGUUUUAUGCUUGAGAAUGGUGGCCUUUGGUGGCCAAAGGCGGCUUUUCUGGAUGUUCGUAGAUGCUCUUUUGCUGUCAGGUAAGUCUAUUCUAGCGGUUUUGUUUUUGUGUUAGUUCUCAAAAAAACUAUUAGCGUCUUUUUGUUUUAAGGUUUUGAAGAUAGACCUCAUAAAGAAAUUGCUCGUGGUAACAAUAAUGAAGAUUCAAUUUUUGUUGGAGAUGGGACAAUUAUACAAAUGUCUGAGCCUCACGGUUCAACAUUGAUGUUCUUCAUCGAACCUAUGCUAGCUGCUUUCCACUUAGCUUUCAUUAUAGUUUUCGUAAGUUUAUUUAGUUAUAGAUUUUGGUCUUUAUAUCUUCUUUGUUUUUUUCUGUAAUCGUUUUCACAAUUUAGACCAUACUAAACAACAUAAAAUUCUCAAAAUUAUAAAAUAAUCACUAUAAAAAAAAAUAAAAAAGGAUCAAAAUUUUAUUUAAAAAAACCCUAAAAAACUAGUUAGUUUUAAAAAGUCAUGAUCUUGUUUAAAGAAAAUUGUACAUUUAACAAUUCUAAAUAUUUUAUUAAAAAAUAUAAGAUUAGUAAAGUACAAAAUAUCACAAUCUUUUUUUUUUUUUUUUUUUUUGUCAAAGACAAAAUAUUACAAUCUAAAUUAUAAAUUUAACAGAUGUCUUCGAAGGGACAAAAAUGUCAAAUGUCAAAUUUGUUUCUGAAUCGAACCACCACGGCCAAAACCCCAAUCUUUACCGGUCAAAAACAUUUUCAGGCAAAAUCUGAAAACAAAAAAACAUAAAUCACCCGCCCAAACAAAUUUCAGAGAAUUUUCGCACCUCCAAAAUUUUUUAGUUGACUCCCAAAAAACUCAAACUCCAAAAAAAUCACAGAGAGCGCCACAAUCAGAAAAAAUGGCGCUUUUGCUCUUCCCUUUUUCUUCCCCUUCUCACCUUCUCUUCUUCCACUCAUCCGAUCUCUCAAUCCUCUCAAAUCUCAAACUCUCUCUUCCCAUCACUCUCUCGCUCUCUCUUCAAUCUCAUCUCAAUCAUGACAGAGCAAGAGAUCUGCGUGAGGGUUACAAGAGCGGCGGCGAAACGAAAAGCUUCGACGGCGAUGGGUAUUGACGGAGAUCGGGUCAACAAGAAGAGAGUUGUUCUCGGUGAGCUUCUAAACGUCUCCAAUGUCAAUCUCUUGGCUAAUCUCAAUCAGAAGAAAGAAACCCAGAAGCCAAAAAGGAAUCUUAAACCUCCUCCGGCGAAACAGAUUAAGUCAGCUCCGGUGGCUAUUAUUGACCUAGAAUCAAAAUCUGACAUUGAUUCUCGAUCUGAUGAUCCUCAAAUGUGUGGACCUUAUGUUGCUGAUAUCUAUGAGUAUCUUCGUCAACUUGAGGUAAUAAUGAUCUUGUGUUUUGGAUUUAGAAUCAUUUACUUAGUUCUUGAAUUGGAUCUGAAUUGGAUUUGGUGAAUUCAGGUGAAGCCAAAGCAGAGACCUUUACCAGAUUACAUAGAGAAAGUUCAGAAAGAUGUAACACCAAGUAUGAGAGGUGUUUUGGUUGAUUGGUUAGUGGAAGUUGCUGAAGAGUAUAAACUUGGAUCUGAAACACUUUAUCUCACUGUCUCACAUAUUGAUAGAUUCUUGUCUUUAAAGACUGUUAACAAGCAAAAGCUACAGCUUGUUGGAGUUUCUGCUAUGCUUAUUGCUUCGUAAGUGUUUUAUGAUUCUUCCUCUCUUGUGUUUGUUGUCAUUGUUUAUGUAUGGAAGCUAAUGGAAGUAUUGAAAUGUUGUAGGAAGUAUGAAGAGAUAAGUCCUCCUAAAGUGGAUGAUUUUUGUUACAUUACGGAUAAUACGUUUUCGAAACAAGAUGUUGUGAAGAUGGAAGCUGAUAUACUUCUUGCUCUUCAGUUUGAGUUGGGAAGACCAACGAUUAAUACUUUUAUGAGGUUAGAUUUGUGUGUAUUGGUGAUGAUUACUUAUUGGUUUGUCUUAGUUUCAUUGUUCUGAUUUUGUGUGUUGGUGUUUGUGUAGACGGUUUACUAGAGUUGCACAAGACGAUUUCAAAGUUCCACAUUUGCAGCUAGAGCCUCUUUGUUGCUAUUUGUCAGAAUUGAGUAUAUUAGAUUAUAAGACUGUGAAGUUUGUGCCGUCUCUGUUGGCUGCUUCUGCUGUUUUUCUCGCUCGGUUCAUCAUCCGUCCGAAACAACAUCCUUGGGUAAGCAUAUUUGUCUCAGUCUCUUUCAGGUUUUAGUCUGCUGUGGUCAUUGUUUAGAAUGAGACACUAAUGAUUUAUGGUUGUGAAUAUGUAAACAGAACCAAAUGUUAGAAGAGUACACAAAGUACAAAGCGGCUGAUCUACAAGUGUGUGUUGGAAUCAUACAUGACUUGUAUUUGAGCAGAAGAGGAGGUGCUUUACAAGCUGUUAGAGAGAAAUAUAAGCACCAUAAGGUACUUAAACAUUACACAUUGAUAAAAUCAUUUGAAUAAGCAGAGCUUUCUUGAUACUUAAUGUUGCUUCUUCUCGGUACAGUUCCAAUGCGUUGCGACCAUGCCUGUUUCACCAGAGCUGCCGGUUACCUUUUGGGAGGAUGUUACCAUUUGAUCUGAGGUUAUGCUAUCUUAAGCAAAUGUUACGGAGCUGGAUUACCGAAUCUUGUUUCAAAUAGUAUAAUGGACACAGAUCUUCAAGUGAAGCUAGAAGAGUAAGAAAUAUAGAAGUGAAGGCAGGAGCAAAUAAGUCUGCGUUAUGUGAAGAUGUGUGAUGUAUUAUUGAAAUCUCUUCUUUUUUAUUUACAAAAUUUUAGUGUGAAAUUCGGAAUAAUAUAAUUUUAUACAAUUAUGCAAUAUGAUAUAAGUAUUUAUGUGACAUGAUCUUAUUUUGUUUAAGCAUUGAGCCUACUACUGUAUGUUUAUACUUAAUGAAAAUUCCUAGAGGGCUAAAACUCUAGAAGACAUUGUUGUUAAUUUAAAGAAACUAAUGAAAAUCUCAAGAAACAAAAGAAAAGAAAAGAUUGUCUAUGAGAUUGAUAAUCAAGUUUACUAAAGAGAGAUUAAACUUGAGAAACAAGAAACAAGGGAGCUUUAGCGAUGACUUGAAAAGUUUCGGUGUGAAGAUCCAAAGACAAAACCAUGGUUUCAACUUUCACCCUCGUGUGAACCAGUGAAGUGAGCCAUCAACAUACACAGGAUCUUGGGUGUGAGAAACCAGAUAAGGGGAUGCAGGACAACGUACCUCCAAGUGUUGGUUGCAAAAUCAAAAACUUCACAAGUUGUAGCGUUCUCGUUUAGGCCUAACUCAGCGGAAUAAGCAAAUCAAAUCGAAAUUAUAAUUAGGGUUCUACUUUACAAUUUUCUCCAAAGUAAAAUUACAAGUUUUAGAUUAAAAAAAGAUAAUUAUAUGUAAUUACUUUUUGAGAUUUUUAAUCAAGUAAAAAAAGGUAAUUUCUCUAAAUUAACACGUUUUGGAACGAUUUUUUUUUUAAUUUCCUUUUUUUAAUUACUUGGGAUUUCGUGUUCAACAAGUUAUUGUUUUGGGCUUUGGUUUAAUUUUCCUUUUUUUUUUAGUCUGUCUCAUCUCUCAUCUGAAUUCUGAAACCUGGUUGUUUUAGGAUAGAGUCUUCUACUCUAUAUAUAGGACUUAGUGUAAGAUUUAUUGUUGUUCUUUCGAAGAUGUGUUCUUGUUUUUCGAUAAAUAUGGUGUCUAAGAAAGAUAAACAGAUUCAUUCCGACCAUAACCCUCAAGAUGCUUCCCCGGUAGAGUGGGCGGAAAUUCGACAUAAGCUACUUGCGUUUCAAGAGAACAUUCAAUCAGGCUCUGACAUUGACGCUAGGUCUGAUGAUCCACAGAUGUGUGGACUUUAUGUCUCAGAUAUCUACGAGUAUCUCCGUGAAUUAGAGGUACGUAAUAAGAUCUCCUACUUGCUCUGUUUUUGGACUUAGAACAUUGACAAGUUUCAAUAGGUCAAUUUAGUAUACUUUAUCUGAAGAGUUUCUAUGAUUGUUCUCUGUUUGGACUUAGAAUUUGUGGAUAUGUUCUGAAGAUUUGUGUUUUUGGUUUGGUGAAUAUUCAGGUGAAGCCAAAGCUAAGACCUUUACAUGAUUACAUUGAAAAGAUUCAAGAAGAUAUAACACCAAGCAAGAGAGGUGUUUUGGUAGAUUGGUUAGUGGAAGUUGCUGAAGAGUUCGAACUCGUGUCUGAAACACUCUAUCUCACUGUCUCUUACAUUGAUAGAUUCUUGUCAUUAAAGAUGGUUAACGAGCACUGGCUUCAGCUUGUGGGAGUUUCUGCAAUGUUUAUCGCUUCGUAAGUGUUUUUGAUCCUCUUGUAUUACUCUCUUUGCUAUUCAUUGUCAUGUUGAAACUUACAUAUGGAGUGGCUUCUCUUUUUUGGCAUUUGAUAUAAAUAGGAAGUAUGAAGAGAAACGUCGCCCUAAAGUGGAGGAUUUUUGUUACAUUACGGCUAAUACUUAUACGAAACAAGAUGUGUUGAAGAUGGAAGAGGAUAUACUUCUCGCGCUUGAGUUUGAACUAGGAAGGCCUACGACAAAUACUUUUCUAAGGUUAGAAUUGUGAUGAAUAAUACUGACUUUUGGUUGUAUCUUAUGGUUCUUUGUUCUCAUCUUUUGUUGUGUUUGUGCAGACGGUUCAUAAGGGUUGCACAAGAAGAUUUCAAAGUGCCAAACUUGCAGCUAGAGCCUCUUUGUUGCUAUCUGUCAGAACUAAGUAUGUUAGAUUAUAGUUGUGUGAAGUUUGUUCCAUCUUUGUUGGCUGCUUCUGCUGUCUUUCUCGCUCGAUUCAUCAUCCUUCCUAACCAACAUCCUUGGGUAAGAACUUUUGUCUCAAUCUCUCUUUUUCAGGUUUAUAUGUUGAGUUAAUCUUUUGAAUGAGACACUAAUAAUCUAUGGCUUGUAAUGUAAAACAGAGUCAAAUGUUGGAAGAAUGCACAAAGUACAAAGCGGCUGAUCUACAAGUGUGUGUGGAGAUCAUGCUUGACUUGUACCUGAGCAGAAGUGAAGGUGCUUCAAAAGCUGUUAGAGAGAAAUACAAGCAACAUAAGGUAAUUGACAUAUUACAAAUUAUGAAAUCAUUUGAUUUAAUUAGUAGUAUCAUUUAUACUUAAAUGUUGCUUUUUAUGGUACAGUUCCAAUACGUUGCGGCAAUUCCUGUCUACCAAGAGCUUCCGGUUACCUUUUGGGAGGAUGUUGUUACCAUUUGAUCAGAACCAAUCUUUCAUUUCCCAAUUGUUACUGAGCUCGAUUACUAAGGGACACUGAUCAACAGUUGAAGCUAGAGGAGUCAUAUGUUAUAUGUAUCGAAGUGAAGCAGGAGCAAAUAAUUUGUGUUGUGAAGAUGUAUUGUGUUAUUACUUGAUUAACAUUGUGGUGACAAAUUAAUGUGUUACUCUGGAAAUUUAUACGAUUAUGCAAUAUGAUAAGAAGUAUUUUAUGUGACAUGAUUUUAUUUGUUUAAUCAUUGAGCCUCCUAUGACAAAAUUUAUAAGUUCCUAGAAGGCCAAAACUUUAGUAGUCAAUAAUUUACUUCAAAUGGUAUCGAAACCAGAUGAAUGGGAAGACAUGACAAGAUAAGCCUUUAGACUUGCUAUGAUCCUUGACAAAAACAAAACAAAACAGAAAUUGUUCAUUUAAGUCAAUAAAAAGGCAAUUUCUACAAGUGAACCCUUAUUGGAAAGAUUAUUUGGUAGAAUUGGUCUGGUCAUUUCCAACAUACGUUUAUUAGAUAAUAACAGAUAGGCGGAUCAUAUAAGAUAGAGUUGUCAAAUCGGGGUGUCCAUGUCCAUUAGCCCAAUCCAAUAAUGUCUAUUUUGAUAUUGGACGAACAUAGUCCGUAUCCAUUAACACCUUUGUCCAAUCCAAUAAUGUCCAUUUUAAUAUUCGAUUUUUCCUCAAAUCGAUUUAACCUAACAUUAUAAGACUAUUGGGCCGCCCAUGUCCAUCAUAUCUACUCUGCUAAAGUUCAUAUCCGUUAACGACUAUAACCAUUAAAGCCCGUUUUAUAAUGGCUUUAUCCAUGACUCGGUCCAUUAAGUAUUGGACGCAGGCAGCCCACGGGCCGCACACCCAUUUUGACAACUCUAAUAUAAGAUAAGUGUCCGUUGGUGUCAAUUAUUUUUGUUAAAUUAAUAGCUGAAUUUGUCGAAAAAAUUAUAUAGGAAAUGGUGUUAAAUGAAUUCCUAGUUCAAUGAUUUUUUUUUAUUAUUGUUUAGACAAAAUAUUUUCAUAUGGUUUAGUGGAUUUAUUUUUCUGUAUCCAAAAAAAAAUCAAAAAUGUAAAACUAAACCCAAAAAAAGUAUAAAAAAAAAACAAAUGCAAAACCGAUUUUUUUUUAAAUUUUUUAAAAGCAUCUCACUUAAUUCCGAAUCUUAACCAAAACCGAAAAAAAAACAAAUCAACUACUAAUAAUUUCCUUAAUUAAAAGCAUUCAUUGAUUGUUAUUUUCAUCUUUAAUUAAGUGAAUAAAACAAUAAUGAUUGUCUAAAUAUAGGAGUGAAACUUUUUGAAGGGUAAAAAGGAGAAAACAGCCGCCAAAUAAAUGUGGAAAUGAAAUCUGCAAAAAAGCCCCAAAUUUUGGAUACUCAAAAGUCAAAUCCCUAAAAAUUUCGAAAUCGGAAAAUUUACACAGAGAAGCGCCAUGACCUAAAAAUCUCAAAACUUCCCCAACAAAAAUGGCGCUUUUACUCAACCCAUUUCCUUUUACCUACCUUGUACAUUACCCCUUUUCUCAAAUCUCACUUUCCCACUGAAAUAACCCCAUGGCGGAGAAUCAGAACUGUGCGAGGAUGACGAGAGCGGCGGCGAAACGAAAAGCGUCGUCCAUGGCGUUAGACGAAAACCCAGUUAGUAAGAAGAGAGUUGUUCUCGGAGAGCUUCCGAAUAUGUCCAAUGUCGUUGCUGUACCCAAUCAAGAAAGAGAGACCCUUAAGGCUAAAACAAGUGUUAAUACCUCGAAGAGGCAGAUGAAGAAGGCUUUGAUGAUUCCUGAAGCUAGCGUACUAAUCGAAUCGAGAUCUGUUGAUCCUCAGAUGUGUGAGCCUUUUGCUAGUGAUAUUUGUGCUUAUCUCCGUGAAAUGGAGGUAAAAAAAAAAUCAUCUUUAGUAGAUUUCUUGAUUCCAUCAUUUUUGAUCUUAGUGAUCUUAUGGUAUCAGUUUAUGUUAUUUUGGAAUUGGUACAGUGUUGGACUUGAUAUUGAUUAAUGGGUUUGGUUAAAGUUGUGGAUUUGAUAAGUUUCUGAGAUUUUGUCCAAUCACAGCUUGCUCUUAUGGUUAUAUGAUAUGUUUGGAGAAAUUAGAGAUGAUUGAUACUUUGGGACUAAUGGUUAUUGUUUUUGGAUUGGUAAAAUUUUCAGGGGAAGCCGAAACAUAGACCACUACCUGAUUAUAUUGAAAAGGUUCAGAGUGAUUUAACUCCACACAUGAGAGCGGUUUUGGUGGAUUGGUUAGUGGAGGUUGCUGAGGAGUACAAGCUUGUUUCGGAUACGCUUUAUCUCACUAUCUCCUAUGUUGAUAGAUUCUUGUCUGUGAAGCCUAUUAACAGGCAGAAGCUUCAGCUUGUGGGAGUUUCUGCAAUGCUUAUUGCGUCGUAAGCAUCUUAAUCCUCUUUGUUUAUUGUUGUGUUGGUGUGAAGAGUCUUAGAUGGUUGGCUUAUGGAAUCUUUAUUUUUGCUUUUAAAAAAGUAGGAAAUAUGAAGAGAUAGGUCCUCCUAAAGUUGAAGAUUUUUGUUACAUUACGGAUAAUACAUUUACUAAACAAGAAGUGGUGUCGAUGGAGGCGGAUAUACUUCUUGCUCUGCAGUUUGAAUUAGGAAGCCCAACCAUCAAAACAUUCCUAAGGUUCGACUCUGAAACAGUCUGGUGUUUAAACUUAUGAUUUCAUGGUUUUACUUGCCCUUGUUUUGAUUGUUAUUCUCUUUUUUAUGUCGUGUUUGUGCAGACGGUUUACACGGGUUGCACAAGAAGAUUUCAAAGUAAGCUCAAAAUCGAUGUACCUGUAAACUGUGGCAUUUGCAUCUCAUAAUUUCUAUUGUUAAAUCUUCUUUUUUUUCAUGCCUUUGCAGGACUCACAAUUGCAGAUAGAGUUCCUUUGUUGCUAUCUAUCAGAAUUGAGUAUGUUAGAUUACACCUGUGUGAAGUAUUUGCCAUCUCUUUUGUCUGCUUCAGCUGUAUUUCUUGCCCGGUUCAUCAUCCGUCCAAAACAACAUCCUUGGGUAAGCAAAUUAAGAACCAUGACAGGUUCUUAUACAGAAAAAGUUCUUUAUAUUCUAAAUCCUCUUCUGGUGAUGCAAACAGAAUCAAAUGCUAGAAGAAUACACAAAGUACAAAGCAGCUGAUCUACAAGUGUGCGUGGGUAUCAUACAUGACUUGUAUCUAAGCAGAAGAGGAAACACUCUAGAAGCUGUUAGAAAUAAGUACAAGCAACACAAGGUAAAUUCAACAAUUCAAUGAUGUAACUUUAAACUUGUGAUAUAUUGCAACAAGAACAUUCUAAUAUCUGAUUCUCUUGGUACAGUACAAGUGCGUUGCGACCAUGCCUGUUUCACCGGAGCUACCUCUUGCUUUCUUUGAAGAUAUUACCAUUAGAGGAAUGGCGUAAAAGAAGCUUGAAGCUUAUGUAUUGGAAGUGUUAGUUACCUGAAUUUUGGGUUGUAUAUAUCUGUUAGAAUGGCAGAUUAGUAUUGAGUAUUAUCUCUUUUAGCGUAUGUUCAAUGAUUUUUGCUAACACUAGUUAAGAAACUUUUUUUUUUUUGCUUGACCAUUUUUUCAAUGGUUUAUUAGAUUUUUAUUGAUUUGUUUUCUGCUUUUUUCUAUGAUGUAAAAGCCUCUUUAAAUCAUAUUGGAAUGUGCACAUCCUCUUAACAAAAACAAAAAAGUACAACAAAGACUUUGCCACUACAUAUUUGUGAUGUUAACAUUCACAAAAAGCUAAGCUAACUCUUAUCACCACUUUGGCGUUUCAAUAUGUAUAAGACUAUAGUGGAUGAAGUUUGUUUACUGUAUCUUCUUGACAUGUAACAAAUGGUCUUGAGGGCAGUUAUUUUUGUGCAGCUACUAGCUAUUGGAGACGGACACUCUUUUGGGAAGUUCUAUGGAAGAGGAUGACCAAGGAGAAGGAAAAAAGUUGCUGUGUGAAAUGAGGUACACUAUAAAGGCGAUAUAAGCAGUCGUCCAGACGCAGACCGUAACUCCAAACAGAAACCCGUCGACUUCUGAUACAAAGAAAUCCAACAGAAGAUACCCAUUGAUGAUCAUUACAAGUGCAGCCACAGUCCAAGCUAUUCUCUGCAAUGUAAUCAAUAAAUCCAAUCAACUUACAAAUACUCACUCUUCAUGCUUCUCUAUUCCAUUGAAGGACUUUCAAUUCUACAUGUUUACUAAGAUAAUUGCACAAACAGUGAAACUAAAAAAGUCGAGACACCUAAAACGAUAAGACUCAACACUAAUUCACCUAUUGUGGUAUCCUAUGGAGACUUGUAGUAAAAGAAGUGGAAAUUUACCUGGAGAAUAGGCCCAAUCUUGAAGUCUCCCAUAAUUUCUUCUUUGGAUACCAAGGUUAGAAGAGGGAGAAGAGCAAAAGGAAUUUGUACAGACUGAAGGACAUUGAGCCAUUCAUUCAAAACAUCCAAGGAAGCUUCAGAAGUAUUGAACACGAUUGCCACAAUCAUUGUAGGCACAAUAGCACAGCUUCUUGUUAUUACUGCCCUCAUCCAUUUCUUAAGCCGGAGAUUCAGAAAACCGCCCAUUAUAAACUGUCCAGCAUAUGUACCAGUUAUCGUACUGCUUUGUCCGGCUGCUAACAACCCGAUACCCCAGAUAUAAAGAAUCGGAAGAAGCCCGCCUCCAAACUUUUCUUGAAGAUACUGACCAGCAUUAACUAGGCCAAUGUUAUUAGCUUUCUCAGUUCCAUAAAACCCCUUUGCAAAGACAGUAGUCACAAACAAGUUAAUCAUGAAGGAGAUGAAAAGUGCGACGGAUGACUCGAUCAAAUAGUAAUUAAGCGCUUCUUGAACCCGGGAUUUCCUCUUCGGAUCGAUUUUCCUCGAUUGUACAAGAGCCGAAUGCAAAAACACAUUGUGAGGCAUUAUAACACAGCCAACAACACCUACAGCUUGCCUAAUUGUCUUUGAGCUAAGUCUCGGUAGUAAAAUACCUAUCCAUAAACACAAAGAUUUGAUUUUUAAGCACUCAAAUCAAAGCAAAUAAAGUGAAAUUCAAGAGUAAAAAUCUGAAAUCUUUACCUAUCAUAAGUUCUUUCCCACUCGGUUUUGUUUCACCAAACAUCCAAGCAAAGGACAAACCCAUAGUUGCGAUCAAAACUGCAAAAACAGCUUCUAACUUCCUCACACCGUAAUUCUCUAGAAACAAAAAUAAAAAACUGUUUGCAACAAAUUCAUUAGCCAAGUUUUCAAAAUACAAAAAAGCAAGUUUCUUAAUUUCAGAUUCGAUCACAAAUCGUUAAACCAAUUCUCUACUGAUUUGUGAGUUUGGAUCAUCUUAGCAAAGUUUUACAAGAAAACAGCCAAAGUAAAAGCAAAUUCUCAACUUCAGAUUGAAUCAUGAAUCUCUAAACCAAGUUUCUACUGAUUUGUGAGUUCGAAUGAUCCAUACUCAAACUCAAUACCGCUAAGAUGAUCCGCAAAGUUUUAAAAUUUCAGAAUGAAUCAUAAGAUUCUCCAAACCAAGUCUCUACUAAUUCUACGAAUCCAACAUCUCUAAAGAACGAAUAGAGUAUCGAAAGGACUCACCAAUCGGAAGCAGUAAUAACAACACCAGCCCAAAGAGGCAAGAAGCCACGGCUAAGAAUCUGAAUAGCAAUAGCACUACCAAUAACCUCUUGAAUAUCAGCACCAAUCAAAGCAAGUUCCGCCAUAGACCAAAGCACAUACCUAGCCCAAGUAGGAUACUCAUCACGACAAAGCUCAGCUAAAUGACGACCAGUAGCUACACCGACUCUAGCUGACAACAUCUGAAUCAACAACCCCAUAGCUGUUGCCCACAUUAGUAGCCACAACAGAGAAUAGCCAGCGAUUGCACCAGCUUGUAGAUCUCCUUCUAGAUUCCCUGGAUCCAAAAACGCUAUACUCAUUAAGAAACCUGGACCGGUGAAUAACCAGAGCUUCCGCCAUGAGAAUGGCGGUGGUGUGUCUCCGGUUGUUGGAUCGUCGGGUGAUUCGAAAUCGACGAUUAGGAUCUUUUCGUUUGUUUCGAAAGCCGCUUCGGAUUCGGAAUCGGUGGAUGGGAGAGAUUGUGAAGGAGGAGGAGGAGGAAGAAGACGGUCUUCCUCUUCUUCGAGAUUCUCUUUGACGUCGUUUUCCAUGGAGGAAGAGGGAAUAUUCGGUGAGGGUUAAAUCGGAAUAUUCUGUCGGUGGUGGUGGUGGUGUCGUCGACGUACCUGAAUUUUGAAUUGGAGGGAUAAAAGAAGAAGAAGACGCAGGCACUUAAUCAGAUGCUUUUUAAAAAAGAGAUUAAUGCGUUUCUUUUUCGUAACUUUUUGGUACCAGAUUCAACUUUAUUAUAUUAAUGCCUAAAAAAGAAGAAAAACUUUAUGUUAUAAAUUUGCUUUGAAAUUAUGUAUUUAGUGUAGUGUUGCCAUAGUUGUAUUGUCACAAAUUUGAAUAAAGCUUUGCUUUUUAAUGACGUUAAUUGAAUACAAGGUAGUGAAUAAAGUGUGUGUUUUAUACAUUUUUAGAUCCAUUGCUUGAUCUAUCUCUUCCUCUCUUUUAUAGAUCACAAUGUGUGAAACUAAAUAUCCCACACCAAAAGUUUAUUGAGUUUCCAAUAUAAGAUUCAUGAUUAGUUUUUUAGAGCUUCAUGAAUAGCAUAGUUGAUAUGAUUGUAUUACUCACAUUCCAAAAAUUUAUGAGCAGAAACUCAACCAUUGAUAAAAUGUUUUUUUUUUUUUGAUGCGAUGCAAAUUAUGAAAAUUUAACCUCCUCAUCCGAAAGUCUUUUAACUAGAACUCAGUUUUAAUCUCAUCAGAAAUUACUGGUUUACAUUCAAUAAGCUUACUAAAUUUUUUUGCUGAAUUUUCCAAAGUGAACAAAUCAUGAGGAUUUUUAGUUAAGUGAAUAUUUAGUGACUAUUUUUCUUUUUUUCUUUUUUUUUUGUAUCAUGAGGAUAUUUAGUGACUAGUAUUUUUGUCAAUCCCUUCAUGUGUGUUUUCAUCACUCAUUAUUUAAAUCAUAAAAACAUGUUAUUCGUUUUUUUUGUGUGUUUCAACUUUCAAGCAUGAACAUAAUUAGUAUUUCUACUGUACCUUCUUUUACCAUAUUUCAAUGAGUAUCUACAUAAAAUAGCCAUGGAUUCAAAAAAAAUUAAGAGAAUAGCCAUGAGCUACAGGGGUAAGUCGGAAACACAUGUAAUUUUACAUGUAUAACCUUAGACAUCAAAGCGACAAGACACUGUUUGGGGAGCGUAUGAUUCUGGGUUUGAAAUUUGAAUUCUAUUGCAUUAUUCGGCCCAAGUUUGUCUCACGACCAAAGUAAUAACCCUAAAAUUAAAAAAAAAAAAAAAAAAAAAAAUUUUUCUCACCGAAAAAACCUCUCUCGGCGGCGAUUAAUUUCAUCGUCGUUGCUCUCAUCUUUUCGAUCCAAGUAGUAGUUGUUUCUAGAAAUUGAUUGUGUUUCCGAUUAUCCUUUUCAAAUCGUCUUCUCGUUGCAGUCGCCGGUGACAAUCGAAGGAUUAAUUUUUGGUCUUCCCUCGCCGACGAUUUGGGUAAGUAGAACCACUGAUUUCCGAUUAUUUACAGUUGCUCUUCUUAUUUCUCUUCCCCUAUACCUUUAAUUGCAUGUCAAUCAUCGCUUGUGUCUAGAUCUAAAGUUCGGUUCGUUGUUAACUAACCCUAAUUUUGUUUCGUGUACUGUUGAUGAAUGAAAGUUAGGCGACCAUCGAGAGUUUGCGGCUAAAGUCUCUGUUUUUUUUUUGGGAAUCCUUCUGUGCUUUUUUGGAAAACACAUGAGGUUUGUAAAUAUUGAUGUGCUUUGUUUGAAUAACCCACGAGGUUUGUAGAUAUUGCGUCCUUUAUCUGUGUUUCUUACAUGCAACUAACCCAUUUUUUGUCUCUUACUAUUCACGAAAGAAGAUUAGGCGAUAUCGGAGGCUUUUGUGGCUGACGCUGUGGGUUUUGUUUGAAAAACACUUGAGGUUUGUAAAUAUUGUCUUUUGAUCUGUUCUCUUUUAUACUAUACUAACCCAAAUUUUGAACGUCUUACGUUCCAUGACUGCAGAUUCGGCGAUAUCGAGGAUUUUGAACGUCUUACGUUCCAUUCAUUUUCGUUUAUUUAUCGCCGAUCUUCUUCUAUUUCUUCCCCUUUAUACUUCAAUUGCAUAGAAAAUAACGAUUGUGGCCAGAUCUAAAGUUCGGUUCUUUUUUCCCUCUAUCUAUAUCUUCUUCUAUUUCUUCCCAUGUAUACUUCCAUAAGUAUCUUGCAUAGGGUUCUUACCUGUUGUGUCCAGAUCUAAGUUUUGAUUCUUUUUUAUUUAUUCUCUACUAACCCUCAAUUUUUUCUUAAUCUCUCUACAUGAAGUUAGAUAAGGCGAGAUCUGGGAAUUUCCUCAAACUCUUUGGAUUCUGCUUCGUCCGUCUAGGGUUUUUGUUUAAAAACAAGAGGUUUGUUCAUAUUUUGCAUGUUAUUUAUAGUUGGUUCAUGUAUUUUAUAUAGAUAACAUGUUAUGUCUACUCUAUAAUGUGUUCUUGUAUAAUGAUGCUUGUUAUUUUGACUAAUUGGUUUCUCUCUAUAAUAUGUUUUCAUUUUAAAUUUCAUGCUUUUAUACCUUUUGGUCUGCCAUUAAGUACUCUGUUAUUUCAUUUGUUUGCAUUUGUUUUAUAGUUUUUUGUAUGUGUUUUAUAUAGCUGCUAAUCUUUUUUUCCUUCUUUUGCCGUUUGCGAGAGAAGUUUUAAUUCGUUCUCCUCCUAUCCAAUCUGGUAUUCGCCAAUGAAUCUGGUAAGUUCAGUCCUGGGUUUCCGAUUAUUUAUCUGUGUCUUCUUCUAUUUCUUCCCAUGUAUACUUACAUAAGUAUCCUACAUAGAGUUCUUACCGAUUGUGUCCAGAUCUAAGUUUUGGUUCUUUUUUAUUUAGUCUCUACUAACCCUCAAUUUUUUCUUAAUCUCUCUACAUGAAGUUAGAUAAGGCGAGAUCUGGAAAUUUCCUCAAAUUUUGUGGAUUCUUUUUCGUCCGUUUAGGGGUUAAAAAAAGAAGAAGAGGUUUGUUCAUAUUAUGCAUGUUAUUUAUAGCUGGUUCAUGUAUUUUAUAUAGAUAACAUGCUAUGUUUAUUCUAUAAGGUGUUUUUCUAUAAUGAUGCUUGUUAUUUAUAGUCAUUGAUUUAUCUGUAUACUAUGUUUUCAUUUUAGAUUUUAUACUUUUAUACCUUUAAAAAGGGAUCGAGAUGUGUUUGAGUUGAUUUUCGGAUCCAGUGAUAUAACUACACAAAUACAUAUUUAUAUACAUGCAUAUAUAUAUAUAUAUAUAAUUAAAACUGGAUUUUUCUCAAAAUUUUUUAUAAAAUUGGUUGCUUGGGUUCCCUAUUUAUUAUCUUAGGGUUUAGUAUUAUGUAAUUGAAAACAAUUUUAAAUUGGUUGCUUGUGUUCCCUAUUCUCAUAUUGACAGUAAUCCCUAUCUAGUUUCCUCUUAAAUUCAUGUUUUUCUUUCAAAUUUCAGUGUUUUCUAUCCGUUGUAUGUUUUGGAUUUUUCUCAAAAAAAAUCUAUAAAAUUGGUUGCUUGCGUUCCCUAUAUAUUAUCUUAGGGUUUAGUAUUAUGUAAUUGAAAACAAUUUUAAAUUGGUUGCUUGGUUUCUCUAUUUUCAUAUUGACAAUAAUCCCUAUCGAGUUUCUUCUUAAAUUCAUGUUUUUUUUUUCAAAUUUCCAGAGGUGAACUACUUUCUAUAGAGUGAAAAACUAAUAUAAUGGAGACAUGCUUUUUCCAGUAUAUCAUUUUCUUAACGUUGUUGUUUCACUUGGUGUUUUUCUAGACCAAUGUUGUCUAUAUUCUCAGUGGAGAAGUUAAUGGUGACUCGCUGGGGAGUGCAUCAUGUUGUCCUCCUUUGUUAUACUUAUAAGAAACAUGUUGUUUCUACACUUUCUUUCACCCUUUACCCAAAUGCAACAUUGGAACCAGUAUAUAAUACUGUCGCCGCAUUUAAUGUAGUAAACACGUAUCUAAUAUUUUCCAACAGACUGUUCAUUUUGUCAAAUCGCAAAUAAAAUGUGUCAAUCCAAUUAUGUAGCAAGUUGCAUAAUGAUGAUUACUGAUAUAACCAAACAUUUCAUGUAAUGUAUGAUACCUAUAAAUUGAUACUUUGUCGAGCUUAUAACCGAAUGAAUAACAUCAAGCCCAAUACAAAAUUUCUAACUCAAGCCUAUUGUUUUCAAAUUCGUCAGUAUAACUUCGUUUACAUACAGAAAUUACAUGAGUUGUUCUUAUAUAACGUUCUAUUUUACAUGGUACUCUGUAAAACAAAUCUAUCAUUAAUGGCAUACCUAGUAUUGCUGUAACUUGUCUUUCUCCUUUGUUGUAUACUUGUUCCUUUUAAUUUUUUCAAAGAGGAAGUGGUGUGAUCGUUAAAUGCUACUCAUCUCUCUUAUUAUAUUGGGAAUGUCUCGAUAACAAGUAGGGCUACAAUAUACUAAAAUAUUUUUGGGCAACAGUGCUGACAAGCUUUUAAGCCACAUAAUUUUGAAUAAUUAUGAUUUUCCUCUAAGCUCUCGCAGGGCUGCUAAUCGACGGAAGCAGUCGUCAUCAAACUUAUUACUGAAUUGUAUUAAAAUUGCAUGCAUAACAACAAUAAAUCAUGUUUUUUAACACUAGCACAUACGUCAUGCGCGACGUGUCGUCAAUCUGGUGGAUGGUUAGUGAUUCUCCUUUGUUAUAUUUAUACGAAACAUGUUGUUUCUGGCCUUUGUUCCACCCCUUCCCCCAAUGCAACAUUGGAACCCGUAUAUAACACUAUCACCGCAUUUAAGGCAAUGGAUACAUAUCAAAUAUUUUCCUACGGACUCUUUACAUUGUCAAAUCGCAAAUAAAAUGUGCCGACUAGAUUAUAUAGCAAGUUGCAUACUAAUGAUUACUGCUAUUACCAAACAUUUCAUGUAAUGUAUGAUCUCUACAAGUUGAUACUUUGCCGAGGCUAUAACCCAAUACACAAUUUCCAACUCAGGCCUAUUCUUUUCAUACCGCGUUUGCAUAUAGGAAUUACAUGAGUUGUUUUUAAAUAACGUUCUAUUUUACAGUUACCAAUGACCUUUUUAUCUGUUAGUCUUCAUUAAAUAACUAGUCGCAUACAAAGUAAACAUCUCUAUAUAUAUGGUCCGUUUUUGGCAUAUCUAGUGAUAUAAGUUAGGGUUUAAAUAUCAAAUGCAUCUGUAAUUGAAAGUAUGUGGUUUAUAGAAUUAAAAAAAAAAGAAGGAACAAAUACAUAUAUAUAUAUAUAUAUAUAUAUAUAUAUAUAUAUAUAUCGUGUGUUUUAUAAAUAAAGCGGAUUACUCAUUACCUACGCAUGUUUACGUUCUCAUUAGUAAUUGAAAUCUAUAAGUUAUGUGGCUCAUCCAGAACAACGCCAUAUAUAGAUGGCGUGUGUUUUAUAAAUAAAGCGGGUUACUCAUUAUCGUGUGUUUUAAAUGCUACUCAUCUCUCCUGUUAUAUGUGGAAUCUUUUGCUACGAAGUAGGGCUACAAUAUAUUAAGACAUUUUCCGCAACAGUGCUUACAAGCUUUUAAGCCACAUAAUAUUGAAUAAUUAUGAUUUCCCUCCAAACUCUCGAAGGGCUGCUAAUCGAUGGAAUCUGUCGCUUCUGUAAAUGUCGCAUCAAACAUAUAACUGAAUUGUAUUUGAAUUACAUGCAUAACCACAAUAAUUCAUGUGUUUUAACAUUAUCGCAGACGUCAUGCGCGACGUGUCGUUUAUCUGGUGGAUGCUUAGUGGUUAUCCUAUGUUAUAUUUAUACGAAACACGUUGUUUUUGGAAUUUGUUUCACCCCUUCCCCCAAUGCAACAUUGGAACUCGUAUAUAACACUGUCGCCGCAUUUAAUGCAAUAGAUACGUAUCAAAUAUUUUCCUACGGAUAGAUUUACAUUGUCAAAUCGCAAAUAAGAUUUGGCGACCAUAUUAUGUAGCAAGUUGCAUACUAAUGAUUACUGAUAUAACGAAACAUUGCAUGUAAUGUAUGAUCUCUAUAAGUUGAUACUUUGCCGAGUUUAUUGCCCAAUACACAAUUUCCAACUCACGCCCAUUGUUUUCAUACAGCGUAUGCAUAUAGGAAUUACAUGUGUUGUUUUUAAAUAACAUUCUAUGUUACAGUUACCAUUGACCUUUUUAUCUGUUAGUCUCCAUUGAAUAACUAGUCGCAUACAAAGCAAACAUCUGUAUAUAUAUAUGGUCCGUUUUUGACAUAUUUAGUGAUAUAAGUUAGUGUUUAAAUAUCAAAUGCAUCUGUAAAAUCUAAAAGGUAUGUGGUUUAUAGAAUUAAGAAAAAAAUGAACAAAUACAUCUAUAUAUAUCGUGUGUUUAAUAAAUAAAGCAGGUUACUCAUUAUCUACGCAUGUUUAUGUUCUCAUUGGUAAUUGAAAUCUAUAAGUUAUGUGGCUCAUCAGGAACAAAAACAUAUAUAAAUGGCGUGUGUUUUAUAAAUAAAACGGGUUACUCAUUACCUACGCAUGUUUAUGUUCCCUACAUAUAGACACCUAGUGUCGGAACUCACGAGUUCCCGUCUAUUUUUCCAGGUUAUUUUGGUUAUUUUACACCCCAAGAAAAAACUAUUUACUAAAGUUUUCUGACGUAUGACUAUUUUGCUAAUUUGUAUGUCGAAUUUGGCUAGUUAGCUAAUUGACACAAUUUUAAUACUCUUUGUUUCCAACCAAAUAAUACAAGAUUUUAUCAAAAACAAAAUAUCAAAUUAAAAAUCUAAUAACAUGUGACUUUAUUUGUUUAGAUUUCUAAAUUAAUUUUAUUCCAAACCAAUUUAAACUACACAUGCUAAAUUAUUAAUUUUCAUAAAAUUAGAAAUAAUAAAAUACAAUAACUUGUAAUUCCCUCUAGUCCAUGAAGUUUGAUGUUUUAAAUUUUACUUUUGUUUCACAAAAGUUGAUGUUUUAAAUUAAUAUUAUUUUCAUUAGUGAUCAAUAGAGAAAGGAAAAAAAGUAGAACUGAUAUUAUUAAAUUAAUUAAAAAAAUAAUAAAUGAAUUAUAAACACGAGAGGGAGGCAAGAAAAAACUACUACAACAAGAGCACCAUCAUCGGAAAAUACUUCAUGGAGAAAACCGACAGUUUCUUUUGUCAAGUGCAAUUUCGAUGCGGACUUACACAGGAAUAGUACUUAAAGUACGGGUGGAUGGAUUAUACGAGACCAUGAAGGGAUAGCAAACACAUGAGGAUCUUCAAUUUUAGAUCAUGUCAACACUCUCCUAAAGGCUGAGACGAAAGCGUUACUUGUGGCGAUGCAACAAAUUUGGAUACAAAAAUACAAGAAAGUACAAUUCCAAAGAGAUUGCGAAGUCCUCAUUAAAACCAUCAAUGGCAAGUCUAAUAGAAGUAAAAUUGCUAAUUUACUUCUAGAUUUAGAGUAUUGGUCUUCAGAUUUUCAUCUAUUGUAUUUACUUUCACAAAACGUCUUUGUAAUAGUAUAGCUCACCAUUUAGUUUUCCUAAUUUUACGAUUUUUGUGUUUUAAGCGGACUAUUUUGCUUCCCCAAUUUUUACGAUUUCUGUGUUCAAAGCAGACUUUAGGAACGAGCCAAUUUGGUUCAAAAACCUUCUCUGUAAUGAUCUACAUUCAUAGAUUAAAACAUAGUUUGCAGUAAGAAAAAACAAUAAAAAUAAUAUAAAAGUUAUUUUUUUUAAUUUGUGAAAAAUCCAAAAUAUCAUUGUUUUAGGAUCAGAGGGAAUAGUAAAUUUAUAAUCAGUGUAGUGAAAAAUGUGUAAAUAAAUAAUGUAAAACCAAUUGAAACUGCAAAUGUUAAAUUAUGAAUUAAAUUAAUUACUAUAAAAAGAAAUAAUAUAAUGCUAAGUAUUUAUUUAUAAAAUUAUAAUCCUUUUAAAUGUGUAAAAAAUAAUAAAGAGUAAUGGAUAAUUAAACCCAGCCCAUUAAGUUUCAUAAGCCCAUUUUACUCUACUGUCUUCUUUCUCUUUUUUUUGACAAUCUUUACUUUCUUCUUCUAAGCUCUAUAAGAGAGACCAUCCUCCUCUAGCUUGAAGCAAACGAAAAGCUUUUGAAGAACAGAGGAACAAGAAGAAGAAAGAUGUUCAGGAACCAGUACGACACAGAUGUGACAACAUGGAGUCCCACAGGUCGACUAUUCCAAGUCGAAUACGCCAUGGAAGCUGUGAAACAAGGCUCCGCAGCAAUAGGACUCAGAUCUCGCUCUCAUGUCGUCCUCGCUUGUGUCAACAAAGCACAAUCAGAGCUCUCUUCUCAUCAAAGGAAGAUCUUUAAAGUCGAUGAUCAUAUUGGUGUUGCUAUUGCUGGUCUCACUGCUGAUGGUCGUGUUCUCUCUCGAUAUAUGAGAUCUGAGUCUAUUAAUCACUCUUUUACUUAUGAGUCUCCUCUUCCUGUUGGUCGUCUUGUUGUUCAUCUUGCUGAUAAAGCUCAGGUAAAUUGAGAUUUUUGGGUUAACUUUUGAAUUUUGACCUAGAAUUUGCUAAAGGGUUUAGUUUUAUGAUGUGUGAGUAUCUGAAAGUUUGAAGCUUUAUGUAAUUGGAGUAAAGUUUAGGUUUUUAUUAGCAAUGUGGCCAAUUUUAUUUGUAGAAUGUGUGUGUUGUUAUGCAAGUAGUGAUAUUGGUUUGUGAUCAAGUCUUAGUGAUUGGGAAUUAGAGAUUCUUGUGUUGUUAAUCAUAUCCAGUUCUGUUGCUAGUUGCUUAAUCCGAUUAGAAAGAGUUAACCUGUAUACCCACUUUGACGAUAGAAGUGUAUAAGAAUGUGAUGAUUUUGGUCGUUUGGUUGUUUCUGUGUUGUCAUCGUCUGUUCUCUUUGCUUGAUAGAGUUGUUUUUGCUUGCAAUUCUAGAAUAAAUAUACGUCUUUGUUGAUCUCUUUUUGGUUUUGUGGUUUUGACUUGUAUUACUUUGCAUUUGUUUACUUACUUGUAGUUGUAGUAUGUCCUGGCCACUUUAUUUACUUGCCUAAUGAAGUAUAUUUUCAGUAAGAUGUUGGUUUACAGUUGUGAUAGAAAUUUGUGCUACAUGUUCACUACUUUUGGUGUUAAACGUAGUGUUCUCAAGUUAGAUGAUGUGUUCACAAUUUUUAAAAGGUUUGAUUGCUACGUCCCACUUACUUUCAUGUCUGUCAAAAAUUAAGUUAGCUGCUGUAUCUACAUUUUCAAUUGAUUUCUGAGAACGUAUUGAUAUCAGUCUUGUAGUUUGAACAACACUCUGAUUUCAUUCAAAUGUUAAGUCAUUUGUUUGUCUUGUAUUAAACAUCUUCAUAAAUUAUCUUUGAGCAGGUAUGUACCCAACGAUCAUGGAAACGGCCUUAUGGUGUGGGUUUGCUGGUAGGUGGAUUGGACGAGUCAGGAGCUCACCUCUACUACAACUGCCCUAGCGGAAACUACUUUGAAUAUCAAGCAUUCGCUAUCGGGUCUCGUUCACAAGCUGCGAAAACCUAUCUGGAGCGCAAAUUCGAGAGCUUCCAAGAAUCAUCAAAAGAAGAUCUGAUAAAAGAUGCUAUUAUGGCCAUAAGGGAAACUUUGCAAGGGGAAACACUGAAGAGCUCGCUCUGCACUGUUUCUGUUCUAGGAGUCGAUGAACCAUUCCAUUUCUUGGACCAGGAAAGCAUUCAAAAGGUGAUUGAUACGUUUGAGAAGGUUCCUGAGGAAGAGGAAGAUGCUGGUGAGGGUGAGGCCGAACCCGAAGCUGCUCCUGGUGCUGCUGGAACUGGUGAACAAGGUGGUUCAGGUGAUCAAGAUGUUGCACCAAUGGAAAUUUGAGCAAGAGGGAAUGAGUUCAAAGUUGGAUUUUCUAACCAAUUUUCUUGUGUGUAGCUCUUUGAUAUGUUCCAACUUCCAAGUACAAUUGUGGUUUUUAUUCGGCUUUGUUUAUUUAACAGCUUGGAACAAGGAGUUAUUGAGUGCCACUAGCUUAUGUUUAGUCCUACUUAAGUCAAAUCUGUCACAUGAUAAUAAUAAUCGGCGAAUCGCCAACCUAGAGAGUGUAUCAAACAGACACCAUUUUGAAUGAGAGAAACAGCGAGAGAAAGAAUGAAAGAUUAAUCCAACUUUGUUUCUCUUUCUGCAAAUUGUUCCUCGAAGAAAUGACUUCAUAAUGCAACCAUACAUUAUUGAGCAAGGAUGAUAAAUCUCCUGCUUGCUCGGAAGAAAAGUUAAAACCAAAAUAAUAUCUCUCUUGACCUUCCAGAGAAUCAAUCCUGUCUUGAAAUGAUUUCAACACACAAAAACAACCUGAGAUUGGAAUUAGAAGUACUGAGUAGACGGAACCUUGGCGACGGGUUUACCACCUGGUAAGACAUUGUCGGGAAGAAUCAACUCCGGUGGAGUUUCACGGGUAAUCCCAAGCAUUGAAUCGUAAUCCUCGUCCUUGCGUGCAUACUUCUUCCUAAGCGCUCUCUCAACCUCGAUCUGCUCAAAUGACUUUGAAUUCUCUGAGGCGUGAAUCUGUGCGAGAUUGAUGUAAUUCUUUGCUGACUGUGAGAUGUAUACUAUCUCUUCAUCUGUUAACUUUCUCAUGAACUUUGCUGGAUUUCCUCCCCACACCUGCCACAUGAAACUGAUAACUUAUAGAUAUGUCCUUGUAAAUAUAUUCUCAGGUUGACGGUUGAAGAAAGUAGUUCAAAAGCAUAGCGAUAUAAGAAAUCCGUCUAAUUCCUCAUAAAACAUUGGAAACACAAGAACCCUCUGUUACUCCCAACUCACCCUUGUUUCAUAUACAAGUAGAAUUGCAACGGAAACAAAGGUGGUUCUCAGAUUUAGACGAUAUAUAAAUACUAUUUACUCUUCUUUUUGAUCAAAAUAUAAUACAAUUUACAGGCAUAUCAUUUCAUUAACUAAUUCUGUAUCAACUAAAUUGUAAGCAAAGCAAAAGUGGAUCUACUUGAAGAAGUUCAGCUGGUCAAGCCUUAGCUACAGGUCAGCGUAGGACUAAAUGCAGCAGACUACAGCUGCUAUUACUUGGUUAAUUAGCAGUUCGUUAUUAGGCUUGGUAGAGCUUCAGGGUCCGUGAUAAGUAAACCUAGCUAGAGUUCUAUUUUUGGUUCUUGAUACUUUGGAUUUUCUCGUUCAGUUUAGUGAGAAAUAAAGCAGUUUCCAGUUCCAGUCUUAUCACAAACUCCGUAAGCAGUAAACCAGAAAAGAUAAAGUGGAAAGAAAGAAACCUCUCCAGAAGGGAUUCGCGUGUUCUGUUUCACAAGAGAACCAGCAGCAACCAUGGCAUGUUUCUCAACCACCACACCAUCAAGUAGUGUUGCUCCCAUACCAACAAAAGCAUCAUCCUCAACAGUACACCCAUGAAUGACAGCACUGUGACCUGCUCCGUUUCAUUUUACAAACAAAACCUUUAACUAACAAUCGUGUAACACAACAUAAAAACAGAUACUUCAAAACUGAUAAAUCGCUUUUUAAGGUUUACCUACUGUUACAUUGUCCCCAAUCAGAGUAGGUAGAACCUUGCCACUUAUGUUGGUCUUUGCAACAUGUACAAGCGUAUUAUCUUGGAUAUUCGUCCCAGAUCCAACACUGAUGUUAUUCACAUCACCUGCACAAGUUAGAAACCCAGAUUAACAUACAAUAAGUUUCACAGCUACUUCAUGACACAUUUUAUCGACAGUACAAUAAAUCUAUGUCCAAUGAUCAGGACAGUAACGUAUAACAGCGAUACAAGAUUAUUAGAAGGUAAAGAGAACUUCAUUUCCUAAAACUAAACUAUGACUACUUUGCACAAUAUACUGCUGCAAAAUUUGGUACUUCUAUCGAACCAAAGGCCAUUAAGACUUUCUAGAAGUAAUAAAGCCUCACCUCGAAGAACACAGCCAUACCAAAUCGACGAGCCUUUUCCGAUCUGAACAUCACCAAUAACAGAAGCACUCGGAGCCACAAACACAUCUUUAUCCACCAAUGGUGAUUUAUCAAACACAUUCAUCAACGUCCGAUGCCUCGACACUGAAAACAAACACAAAUUUCUCGAAUCAAAUUUUUUCAAUCUAAGCCACAAAUUUCUCCAAUCAAAGGUGAAGACACAAAUUAGAGAUAACGAAUUGGAUCUAGGGUUUCAAUAGAGAGUAUUAAGUGGAAGGAUCUGGAAGCUUACGAUGUUCCUCGAUACGGUGACUUCCUUGAAGAAGAGAACCAACGCGAUCAAGAGCUUGACCAGUUCCACGAAUCCAGUUACCCACAGUGUAAAUUGCUCGUCCUAGGGUUCCCAUUUUUUUGUGAUUCUCCGAUUACCCAAAGUGUGAAAAUGAGAAGGCUUUGUUGUUUUUGGUGUCGCUCCACCAGAUAGAGAGAGGUUUAUGGAGGCGUAUUGAUGGGAGGAUUUUUUUUUUUAACUCGAGUGAGUUCGUUUAUUUUGUUGACCUCUAAAUUUUUAGAGUAUGGAGUGGUAACUGGUAAGCUAAACCAAACCGAAAUUUAUUGGUUGGACUUACAGAGAUUGUGAAUACAAAAUCCGGAUAGAUUCGUUUUGCAAUGUAAGGAGAUGGAACAAAGCUUUCAGGAGACAAACACAAAAAUGAGUAAAAUAAUUAAUAUAAUUUAGCAAAGAAAAUAAAGAGAUAAAAAUAGAGAUAUUAGCUUAUAUUGUGCAUUGGAUAUUGGAAGUAUUGCAUAAAGCAAAGAAAUAGUUUUUAGUAUAAGGAUUGGAAAAAACAUUGUUUGUAUCUAAAAUGGGGUCAAGAAUGUAGAAGAUGGAGUUUCUUGGGUGUUUUUCUUGGAGUUAUACUAGAAAGAAGUCGGGCAAGUGAUAUUUACGCGUGGGCGAUUUCUCUCUCAAAUUUUUUUCUUCUUAUAAUCACAAUCUCUUGUUCCGUCAAUAAGUUUUUUCGUUGACUCCAGCGACGAAGAAACCCAUUGGGACAUGGUGCUUCAACCGUGAUCCGCUACAUCUUCUCGGCAAUUCAAUCUAUUCAAAAUCAAGGGAGCAGUGGAGGGCAAAUGCGGCAUUAGGGGAGUGCAAGAGGAGCAAUUGCACAGGAUCCAAAAAUUAUUUGAUCAAAAUUAAAGGGUAAAAUAAAAAAAUUUAUCAAAUUUGAGGUCAAAAAGAUAAUUUUGACUAAAUCUGAGGGCCAUAAUAAAAUUUUAACUAAAUGUAAGGGCCAAACUCAAAAUAUUUAGUAUAAAAGGGCUAAAUUUGAAAAUUUGUACAGUGACAGAGAAUAUAUUGAGUUGGCCCUGGUGGAGGGGAGAAGAUUAUGCGAGACACUGUCGGUAAGAGCUAUAUCGGUGGUGUGGCUUCACGGAGAGGAAGGAUGAGACUUCACAGUGAAGAACAAGGGCUGACGGCGGUUAGGUCGGAAGUCUAAAGAUUCUGGAGGUUUCAUUGGGUCGCCGCUUGAUGGGGGAGGUCGACUCCGCUUCGGUGAGGCUUUACCACCGUCGAUGGUCUUGAGAUCUACUCACUACUGCCGUCAACUCUCUCGACUGAGCUAUGAGAUUCAUGACUAUGGCAACCCGGAUCGCCUCUUCCUCCUCAAAACUGCUCUACGGUGGCAGGAGGACAACGGAUCCUGAAUUACCAUCUCCGUUCGACGAAUCUCGUCUAGGCUCCCCAAAGGGUUUCUGUUCCGGUGAGAUUCUGCAAUUCUUGGACGGCGGCUCAGAUCGUGUUUUACGAUAUGAGAUUAGGAUUUUCAACUUUCGGUUUAGAUCGGUUUUGUAAUAGAUGGUUUAGUCUGGUUAUAUGUAAGUGGAUUGAGUCUAAGGGAAAAUGUAUGAGCCUAAAUCCGGAAAUAGUCCAUUGGACCUUAUUUAUAACAUUGAAAACCAUUUUACAAAAAAAAAGAUGGAGUCUCUUUUCUUAGGGUCUCCACCUCUCUUUAUAGUCUUUUCCUUCCUCCUAUGUAUCUUUAUUUGGCCAUUAGGUACAUAUCUAGCUCAUAAAAUAACUCUCAUAAUUAAUUCGUAAACUUGAAUGGCAAGUUUACUCCUUAAACCAUGACCAUUAAUUCAUAAAUUUAAUCACAAAUUAAUAUCAAGAUUUAACCACCUUUCUUAUGCAAGAUGUACAUUCUUUGCUCUGUAAAGUGAUGGAACUUGGAUGCGUAAGAUGGAUUUGUCGUGCGCGAUCCGGUAUCAACAUAAGCUUGAGUUCUUUGAGUAAGGUUAUUUGCUUGAAGACUAAUAUUCUUGUAAUGCUGUUGGAUAUGAAUUUGGAUUAAGUAGUUGCGAGGUGACCUGACAAAUACGCC